AUGCAGAAGCUAAUAAGAUAUGGUAUUGUCUUGGAACGAACAGGGGAGCUGACAUUACAGGCCUGGUCUGCACCAAUGAAGGCAAUGCGCAAAAAGGAGGCAACAGCAACGGCUUGUUCUGAAGACGACCGUAAAGGUCUACAUGGUAUAUCCAGGAAUGGGCAAUACGAUCCUUGGAAUCCUGCCUACCCUCCACGUGAUCCUAUUCCAUGCGAUGCUGACAUGGCCGCUCAUAUCGCAUCAGUCAAGGAGUGGAUGGACAAAACAGAGGCUAUACUUGCUAACUCCAGAGCAACCAAUAUAAUCAUACCAGAUCGUACUCCACAGUUCGUAAAUGAUGUGCUCUUCGAUAUAUUACCCGCCUUGGUGCCAAUCUUGGAAAAGGAUAAUGUCAGAUCUUUCCUUCGCUUCUUCAAUGAGAAUGGAAGGGCCAUGUCUUGGGGUUUCAUCAUCACGCCAGAAACUUUAAACCGGAUAAUCAUGUAUAAUGCAGUGCGAUGUGCCAAAGUUGUCUUGGUUGGUGAUGAUCCUGAGCUUCAUGGUUUCCGAGCCAAUCCCAACUGCAUGACACGAUAUGGGUACUUUUCCCUCCACCGAGCUGCUGAUAUGUUCUCUGUUGAUAUGAUUGAGUUGCUCUUGCGCCAUGGUGCGUCUGCCAAUGUUGCACAUCUGGUGAUCUAG
rnacentral:rRNA from 1 species